UAGGGAAUCUUCCACAAUGGGCGCAAGCCUGAUGGAGCAACACCGCGUGAGUGAAGAAGGGUUUCGGCUCGUAAAACUCUGUUGUUAAAGAAGAACAUAUCUGAGAGUAACUGUUCAGGUAUUGACGGUAUUUAACCAGAAAGCCACGGCUAACUACGUGCCGG
rnacentral:rRNA from 1 species